GGCGCAGUACGGGCCAGAGGCGGGGGUAGCAAGGGGGGGGCGGGCGUUCUACGAGUUAGUUGGUCGUAAGGCGGGGGUAGGAGGGGCGCUAAGCGGGACCUCUAACCCGAGGGAUCAACCCCCGGCCGUGUCCCGAACUGGCGCUCUGGAGUGCGGUAGGGGAGAGCGGAAUUCCCGGUGUAGCGGUGGAAUGCGCAGAUAUCGGGAAGAACACCGACGGCGAAGGCAGCUCUCUGGGCCGAAACUGACGCUGAGGCGCGAAAGCUGGGGGAGCGAACAGGUUUAGAUACCCCUGUAGUC
rnacentral:rRNA from 1 species